rnacentral:rRNA from 1 species
UACGUAGGGCGCAAGCGUUUGUCCGGAAUUAUUGGGCGUAAAGAGCUCGUAGGCGGCUUGUCACGUCGGGUGUGAAAGCCCGGGGCUUAACCCCGGGUCUGCAUUCGAUACGGGCUAGCUAGAGUGUGGUAGGGGAGAUCGAAUUCCUGGUGUAGCGGUGAAAUGCGCAGAUAUCAGGAGGAACACCGGUGGCGAAGGCGGAUCUCUGGGCCAUUACUGACGCUGAGGAGCGAAAGCGUGGGGGAGCGAACAGG